rnacentral:rRNA from 1 species
CCUACGGGAGGCAGCAGUGGGGAAUAUUGCACAAUGGGGGAUACCCUGAUGCAGCGACGCCGCGUGAGUGAGGACGUAUUUCUGUAUGUAAAGCUCUAUCAGCAGGGAAGAAAAUUACGGUACCUGUCUAAGAAGCCCCGGCUAACUACGUGCCAGCAGCCGCGGUAAUACGUAGGGGGCCAGCGUUAUCCGGAUUUACUGGGUGUAAAGGGAGCGUAGACGGCUAAUCAAGUCAGAAGUGAAAACCCAGGGCUCAACCUUGGGAGUGCUUUUGAAACUGAGUAGCUAGAGUGCAGGAGAGGUAAGCGGAAUUCCUAGUGUAGCGGUGAAAUGCGUAGAUAUUAGGAGGAACACCAGUGGCGAAGGCGGCUUACUGGACUGUAACUGACGUUGAGGCUCGAAAGCGUGGGGAGCAAACAGGAUUAGAUACCCGAGUAGUC